CAGGCCUAACACAUGCAAGUCGAACGGCAGCACGGGAGCAAUCCUGGUGGCGAGUGGCGAACGGGUGAGUAAUAUAUCGGAACGUGCCCAGUAGUGGGGGAUAGCCCGGCGAAAGCCGGAUUAAUACCGCAUACGACCUAUGGGUGAAAGCGGGGGAUCGCAAGACCUCGCGCUAUUGGAGCGGCCGAUAUCAGAUUAGCUUGUUGGUGGGGUAAGAGCCCACCAAGGCGACGAUCUGUAGCUGGUCUGAGAGGACGACCAGCCACACUGGGACUGAGACACGGCCCAGACUCCUACGGGAGGCAGCAGUGGGGAAUUUUGGACAAUGGGCGCAAGCCUGAUCCAGCCAUGCCGCGUGCGGGAAGAAGGCCUUCGGGUUGUAAACCGCUUUUGUCAGGGAAGAAACGCGCCGGGCUAAUACCUUGGCGUAAUGACGGUACCUGGAGAAUAAGCACCGGCUAACUACGUGCCAGCAGCCGCGGUAAU
rnacentral:rRNA from 1 species